GACUGCGUGACCAUGGAGUGACCGGACACUAUCGUCCUGAAGGCUCCCAGGAGCUGUCAAUCAAACCGGCAGAGCAACAAGUCCCUCCCACAAACGGCACAGAGGUUCACCUUCAGACAGGUGUUCGAGCCCGAGGCCAGUCAGAGGAAGGUGUUUGAUGGGUCGGUGCGGGAUUUGGUCCGGGACGUCCGGGGGAGGCGGAACUGUCUGGUCUUCACAUACGGAGUCACCAACGCUGGAAAGACCUUCACCUUCCUCGGUCCGGACCACGACACGGGGAUGCUGCCGCGGUCUCUGGCGCUGAUUUUUAACAGCAUUGAGGGCCGUCUGUACGCCCACGGAGACCUGAAGCCGCAGGGCUGCCGAGACUACACCCGGCUGACCCCAGACCAUCUGGCUGCCGAGACUACACCCGGCUGACCCCAGACCAUCUGGCUGCCGAGACUACACCCGGCUGACCCCAGACCAUCUGGCAGCCGAGGCCCGCAGCAAGAGGACCCUACUGGGGCUGCUCAAAGAGGUCAGACAAACAGCUGGACACAAUUUCUCGCAGUACAGGGACACAUCUGGACAUAAGGUCUCACAGGAC